CCUUCAGCGGAAAUAGCCGAGCCUAGGAUAAAAACCGAGAGAAGCACAGCAGUUAUCACACUUCAUCUUCAAUAUCCGCCGAUGACAAUUGUUUCUAGAGGGAGAUUCAGAACUAGCAACAUACCAUACACAAGGACAAGAAAAGAUCCAGACACAACCAUGGCCAAAGUAUUGGGAAUGCUGCUCCUCCUGUCAGCUCUCUGCUGCUCCCUAGCGGACAAAGUUGAGCUUCGUCACACCAAAGAGAGGACAAAUACUAUAAA